ensembl:lncRNA
CCGCGCUGCGGAGACGCCGGAGGGAGCGCUUGGCGGCGCCCGGGCAGGGAGGAGCGAUCCUCCCAUCGGCGGGAUUCCGGAUCGGCGGCCGCGGGUCGGGAUUCUUCCUUAUUCUCCUCGCGCGCGCGCUUCGCUCCGCGGGUUGCCCUCCGUCGCCGACACGCGUCGUCGUCGUCGUCGGCUUCACACGCCCCCCUUUCUGCCGAGCUGGGAAGGCCAGCCUUCCGAUAGGAUCCCCCUGCGCUGUUCUGGGACGCGUCCGAGCCGCGGGAUGCCAGAGGCGGGCCCGGCCGGCCGAGCGGUUUCCCUCUAGAACCCGAGGAUGCCGCGCGUACGCACGGCCGCCUAAACCCGCAUCCUUUCCCCGGAGCCGGAGGAGGAGAGCGACCCGCAGGCAGUGGAGCACGUCUGAAGAGGUGAAGCCGCCAGCUCCGUUGCACGAAUCCUCUAUUUAAAAUUAAAAAAAAGAGAAAAGGAAAAAAGGAAGAACCUGCUAGAAAAGACCACCCAUUUUUCCUCUCGGUGAAAGGUAUGGAAUUCCUUCUCCUUUUGCUAUUAACAGAAAGUUCCCUGCGUCUCUCGGGUUGCAGAGAAACUUCGUCCUAUAGCCUGGAAAUUUGUUGGACUUAUCCUAUGGAACGUCCUUUGUACGUUGCCCUUUAAAAUACAUCUGUCUAUCCAUACUUUCUGUUGACAUGUGAACUUGAAAGCCAGUUUCAAGAAACUGGGAGUAGCAUAGUCAGGGGUAUCGCUUAGAAGACCAACAAUACGUCAAAGCGGCAUCUCAGUGUGUAGGUAUUUCCUCCCCCUCCCCUUGAAUUUUGAGUCAGGUGCUCCUGCGUACGUACGCCCUCCUAGCAGAGGCCCUGGCACAUUAUAAAGCUGUGUUUAUUCAAAGCAGUGUUUAGCUCUGCAUCUUUUAUGCAUCCCUUGUGGGUGUUUGGACGGCUUGUCAAAUUAUCCUGCACCUGGUCUUUGUCUCGUGUUGUCUUUUACGAUGGAUGCCUCAUGGCGGUUGGCCCCGGGAAGGUUGCUUCGUAGGACGAGAGAGGAAAGUCUGGGGCUGGUUGAAUCCUUUGCUCUUUUGCUUAAUGCUCGAACUGAAUUUGGAUCGAAUGUGAGUUUUGAGCAGGGGGCCUCGGUCAUAUUAACGCGCCUCCAUUCCUGACGAGAACCAUGCCUUCUUCCUGUUGCAGGUCGCAGUUGUGUCAAGUCAGUUCUGACUUAGGGUGACUCUUUCCAAGAUUUUCUAGAUAGAGAGAAGACUCUCAAGUGCUUUCCCCUUCCCUUCCUCUAGGGGCGCUGUGGGACGGUGCAGCUUGCCGAAGGUUACCCAGGCUGGCUCUUCUCCAGAGAAGCACAGAGGGGGAAUCGAACUCCCAACCUUUAGCUCCCCAGCCAGAGACCUGAACCACUAAGCUAUUCAUUUAUUUAUUGUAUUUAUUGAUUUAUUUAGCUUAUAUGCCACCCACACUACCCAAAGGUCUCUGGGCGGCUUGCAAUAAUUAAAAUACAAUAAAAAGAUAAAACAAUUAAAAUAAAAUUAAAAC